rnacentral:tRNA from 1 species
UAGGUAGAAGCCUGUUGGUUUAGGCAUUUAGCUGUUAACUAUAGAGUUAUGGGAUCGAGGCCCAUCUACCUAG